rnacentral:lncRNA from 1 species
UGGAGAUACACAAGCCCAGCCCCAUUGUCUCAUUUGGGCUGACUCUGAAGGGCUGUCCCAGCUCCCAUUAGGACAGGCUGAAGCUGCCGUUUCCAAUGCACUGAGGAUCAGCUUCUCUUCCAGCCUCCAGUCCUGCUUUCCUCACUUCUAGAGAUAAUCUUGGAGAGAGAGAAAGAUCCUGUCUCAAGGACCAGCCCAACGCUCAAGGUAGGACCAGAAGAUGCACCAUCAGAAGAUACAGCACGGACAGCUGAUGACACAGCUGCAGCUCAUGAAUUUUUACCAUGGAAGUUGCGUAAAGAAGCCCACUUUCGCUGCAGUCUGAUUUCGAUGACUGAAACGGCAGCCAGGCCACGCCUCGCUGGGAGCUCCUCUGAGCGCCUCCUCCUCGCCACGCAGGAGCUGUUCCACGUGCAAGAGCCUUUCCCUCCGCUCCUGUCAUUCCUCUCAAGGCUUCUUGGCAGAAUUCCUACUGCUCUUAUUUAAUAUCAUCUCUCUUUACUAUUUCUGAACUCCAUUUCAUGCUUUUUCUAGUUAUUCCCAAUAAAGAAGAAACUGGAAAUUCACAUAUGCUGAGACUGAAAAUCUUGUUGCUGAAAGGGCAUACAGAAAUAGCCCGAGGAGUAGAGCUCUUCCCAAGAAAAGCUACUGGGGAAGGAUUUCUGCCUCGUUUUUCUUUAAAAUAAGGUCAUUUAACAUAAGUCUGAGGAAAGCAUAGUGAGCCACAUUUCAUUUUACUGUUAAUUGCACUUGAGCUGAGAAACAGAAGUAAUAAAA